rnacentral:rRNA from 1 species
GAUCAUGGCUCAGGAUGAACGCUAGCGACAGGCCUAACACAUGCAAGGUCGAGGGGCAGCGCGGAGUAGCAAUACUUGGCGGCGACCGGCGCACGGGUGAGUAACACGUAUGCAACCAACCCAGUAACAGGGGGGAUAACCCGGAGAAAUCCGGACUAAUACCGCAUAAGACCACGAUAUCGCAUGAUAUAGAGGUCAAAUAUUUAUAGGUUAUGGACGGGCAUGCGUCUGAUUAGCUGGUGGCGGGGUAACGCCACCAAGGCAUCGAUCAGUAGGGGUUCUGAGAGGAAGGUCCCCCACAUUGGAACUGAGACACGGUCCAAACUCCUACGGGAGGCAGCAGUGAGGAAUAUUGGUCAAUGGGCGAAAGCCUGAACCAGCCAUGUCGCGUGAAGGAUAGAAGGUCCUAUGGAUUGUAAACUUCUUUGCAGGAGGGUAAAGUGAGCUACGUGUAGUUCAUUGCAAGUACCCUGCGAAUAAGCAUCGGCUAACUCCGUGCCAGCAGCAGC